CUCUGCCUCAGGAUCUGCCGCCGCACCUUCUCCACCGCUGCCCGCAAAUCCUCCCGCUGCGCUUCCGUCAGCGACUCGCUGGCCCGCCGGCCUGGAUCCUGCUGCAGGGCAUUAUACAGCGUGGCUUCCAGCUCCUGGAUUUUCUAGUGCAACCCAAAUCACACACAGACAGGCUGACGUUUGAAUCCAGCAAGCAAACGACCCGCCAAGAGCUAGAGGAGAAGGCUAGCAAGCGGAGGCUAAGGCAGAAGGGCAGGAUGUACACAGACAGGUAGACAGAAAGCAGCAAGCGUGAGCAGUGAGGAGCAUUCCACACAGAGUGCACGCAGCCUCCUGGCACGGAUUGACACCUGGGAGAUGGGUCCUGUUCUAGCAAAUCAUUGAUUCUGCCAUUCAGAAAGAUUCAGAAGAUAGGUCUGCAUUCAGUACCUGAUAAAACUCCAAAUCCUGAUGCUGAACAUUACAAAUUUAACUUAAACUAACAGAUUUCCUUCAACUGCAGCUGAAUUGCUAAGCCAUCCUAUAAAAUAAAAAGACCACAGGAAAAACUGUGAACAGAAAUCUCGCUCUCCCUCUCUGUGGCCCUAGUGACCUGAUAUCCAUGGCUCACAGUCUGUGUCACUGCCUUAGCUCCAAGUUGCCAUAAGCAAUGAAGAAAGGAACACUUGUGUACAUUGAUCCCUCAUCCGUCUCUUACUGUCUGCCAGAUUUCUAACAUGAUUCUCAUGCACUGACCAAAACUGCAGUACUUUGCAAAGCACAAAACAGAGAACUUCAGCUUCACGUGCAGAAUUGUACUCCCAAGAGGAAAGGAAGGAAUCGUGGCAGUAUUUCCUUGAUUACUGAGGUUAGCAUGAUCCUAUCAAAAACCAGCAUCCAGACUAACAAUAUUUGGAUCGAGAGCAUCUGACCACAUCCCUUUGGCCCUCAUUACACCUUUGUGAGGUCCUGAGCAAUAAUAAAAACAAGGGAGUGUUUGUUCUUUAUCCUAAUUUAUGAGGAAUCAUAAAUGCCAUCAUUUUUAUGCAAAAUUUCUACUUGAAAGCAAAAGAAAGCCCAUAGCAAAUGACCAUAUUCAUCCUAAGGAUAUUUGGAAUAUUGAAUUUACGACAUUAGCACUUCAAAUCUGUGUAUCAUAUUAACAAGCUGUACCUAGAAAGCAUUGACCUCUACACCAGUGUGCAAACCUGCCUGGACCUGACAGAAGUGCAGUAAAAGGUGAGUGGGGAUGUACAUGCAUGUGGUCCAAUGGCUGUACCUUACACAGGGCCAAGGGAGGGAAAAGAGAAACACAAGAGAGGGCACUUUAUGGAAAUAUCCCGUGGAAAUAUUUCCCUUAAGGAAAUAAUGGGGCAAGCCUUAAUUGCUGUUGUCUAAUGUGUUCUUCUAGGGAGGAAACUCGAGCAUGCAGGGUUAUCCACAGCUGGAUUCUGCAGCACUGUCCCGUGACAUGUUACUGAAGCUGAAGUAACAACUUGGUCCUCAGCUUGUACAGGCAGGAGGCCAAAUUGAAACAGGUGAAGUGAUGCCCAGAGAGGUUCAGUGAGUAGCUGAAGAGCUGAAGAAGUUUUCAAGAUACCUAAGAUUUACAGGGAUUGUUUAUUUUUGUCCUUAAAAAUCAAACUCCUCAACUUUCACAGCUAUUAUAUAUAAACCCCACAGACUGGGGUUUCAGUGGAACUCAGUAUCCAGAACAUGAUGUUUCAAGCAAGCUGUGGACAUUUAAAUGGUUGCCUGAUUAGUCAAGCCUUUAGAGUGUUUUGAUUCAUAGAAUCAUAGAAUGGUUUGGGUUGGAAGGGACCUCAAAGAUCAUCUUGAUCCAAACCCCCUGCCAUGGGCAGGGACACCUUCCCCUAGACCAGGUUUGAUGACAGUAACAAGAACAUCAAAGAGUUACCUAAUUUGAUUAGCUUUUCUUUCAAAGCAGGUUUUUCACACUCAUAAGAAUUAGUAGUAGAAAAAAAAAAGCAGAAAAGGCCUUUGACUGAAUUUAAUAUUUUCUAUCAUUCUCUUUUCUAAUCAACAAACUUUUGCAUUUUCUCCACAUAUAGAAUAAAUGCCAGAUUAAUACACAGGGUUCUUAAGAUCACUAAUUGCAGCUUUUAUUAACAGUAUUAAAACAUUCAAAUAUUGUUGCUCUGGUUAGUUUUAUUUGAUAUGGGAUUGCCUCAAAGUCACUUACUUGGACAAAUUUUGCUAUCAGUUGUGUAUGUGGACUUCUGACAACUUUUCUGUCAGUUGCCAGUGUAGAAGUAGUAACAAUAGCAACAUAUGAGUUUUAGAGGAUUCAGAAGAACAAGGUGCUAUUUGUUGUCUGUAUAAGAAGUAUCACAUUUACUAUGAAUUUAUUUUGUAAACUUGGAGUUCUUUUAAUUACCUAUUAAUUAAUAUUCAAGACAAACCCAAAGUUUAAGUCAGACCUUGGUCUUGGGGCUGGAAUUUGGUUGGGAAUAUCUAUUGCCAUAAUAGCCAUUUUAGAAUCUUCUGCUCCAUCAUAUUCUAAAUAUGCUACUGGUCCUGAAGGGAGAGGGCCUCCAACAGGUCCUGUAGGACAUAUUUUUCAGCCCUUAGUGGACAUCUCCAGAACUCUGAGUUCAGACCUCUAGAGAAUGUGAUAUGGUAUUAGACACCACAUUUAUGCAACUGAAUGCCACCAUGACUGCCCAGGUGGCUCAUUUUCAGACACGGAUGAAUUACAGCAACUGCAAGGCUGUUGUACAGGAUGAAACACCACCAUGCACUGGGAGUGCACAGCAAAGGACAGGCCUGGUCCUGAAUUUCUUACAAGUGUCUGACACCACAGAGGUAGAUUCACUUGUCUGAGACUAUAAAAUGGGUCAGAGCUGCCAUCAAACCCCAGAAGAGCAAUGCAGCUGCCAUGAUCAUGUUACUUCUCAAAAGGGAUAGCAAAGGCUGCCCACAGAAAGCAAGAGGGAAGGAAACAAGAAUAGGACCUCGAACCCUUAACACAACUACACCAGUGUUCAGUCCUUCUACAAGUAUCAUGCUAGAAUAUAAUUUCUCAACUCAUUGAGUCAAUCAUUAGGGAUGCAGAUUCUCAGACUGCUGUGCUAAACAAACAGAUGCAAGGGCCAUCCAUGGUAAGCCUUGAAAACAUCACAGAUAAUAAGGGGGAAGAUAAUAUAUCAAGUUACAAACCCCCUAUUUUUUCCAUUUCUCUUUACAAAAGAAUCUUGUAUUUGUGGCCACUUUCCCUUCCCCAAGCCUAUGUAUUUUUCCAUAACAAGACUUAAAAAUAAACAAAUACUAAAUGUGGAAAAUAUCUAAUCUGUGUUAAAGUACAAUCAGUAUGACAGGUUACACUCAUCAGAGAACAGUCUCAGCACUUCUAUUUUUGCUUGUGGCUCAAACACACACUUCUUCAGUGGCCCUGGGCAAAUCACUUAACCUCCCUGUCUCAUUGUCCCAUUCUUUAGGAUGAAUGCAAUGCUGCUUAUUUAUCUACCUGUAAAAGGUGUGGUGAGGAUUAAUCAGUGUUUGGAACACCAUUUGAAGAUGUGAAGCACAGCAUGCAUGGUAAACCAAUAAAGCCAAACACUCCUUCUAAAACUGUUCGACAUAUGGAAAAAUAAGGUGACAAGCUGAAGAUAUUCCGAAGGAAAGCCUCACCACGGAUAUUGGAGCAUUCUGAACCUUUGAAAUCAGUGGAAAUGGGAAAUCCUGAGCAUCUCUCACAGCUACCCUCAAUCAAGUGAAGGGCUAUUUGCAAAAAUUAGAGGUCUAAUUUUUUUUAAGAGGAAAGGACCACUGACCACUCUGAGCUUUUUCAGUCAUCCACAGAAAUGAGCCCAAAAAGGACCAUGGGCACCUUACAGAGGGCACCUUACAACUGCUCCCAGAGCACUGAGGACACCAGCACUUCUGGGAAUGGAGUCUCUUCUGUUAAGUGGAUUUUUAGUACUUUAUGCUAAGGGAAUAUCUCCAAAACAUGUUUUUAUUUUUAAACUGGGUUUCUUUUUUAAGUGUGGCUUUACUUCCAGACAUCACAAUCCCAACAUUCAAGUAAGGAUGAACACAUGCUCCAAUCCAGAUGACCUGAACAGAAAAGCCAUGCUUCCCUGGCAAUGUUAUGAGGUAUCUUAGAAGACACAGCCAGUUUUUAGCAGAGAAAAAUAUUUACUGAAUUCUACCUUUUCACAGAGGGAAAGCACAGUCCCAGCUUGGAUUAUUGCAACCUGCUCUUCAUUUCUCAAAUUCUAAAAUACAAAAAAAUACAUUUUAAAUUGGAUUAAAAAUUCAUCCUUUAACACGGGCAGUAAGUUUUAACCAUACUUCAAAAAGUAAAUCAGCUAUAACAUUUAGGAUUAUAGACAUGACCAAAAAGUAUCCCGUGACUGAAAGUACUGAAAAUUAAACCAAGGGCGCUUAGUUCCACUCUAUUUCAGCAUACCAGCCCCACAACAUUUUUUCAACAGAUCAUUCAAUGAAACAGAUCAGUCAAUGAAAAUUAAGUGGUUUUAGUCAGGGAUUUUGCAAUUUUUUUUCCUGUUUUUGCCAGUUCACUGGACUAAGCCUUGCAGCAAAUGAAUCUCACCUUCAUGCCCUUCAGACUUCCAAUUAAAGAAAACAGUGCAAAGAGUAAGUGCCAUAGAAAUUUCCAGAGGACUUGCAACAUAACAUACAAAUCUAGAACUUAAAACUAGUAUUAAAAAGACCUCAAUCUGUUAAAUCUAGUUAUAAAUUGGACUCAGCUCCCAGGAUGUUUGUGCCCCAAGUGUGUGACUAAGAUUUUAUACUGUAUUUAGCAAUAAAGAGGAAAAAGGGGAGACAGUUAUCCUUGCCUUUCUCCCAGAAAAUCCACUCCUGGCAGUGACAGCCUUCACAGCAGAAGGUGCUACUAUUACUACUCAAGAGGGAUAAUUCACAGCUUGGUCUGGCUUUGACAUGUUUUGUAUCUUUUCACUUUGCCUGUUACAGUGCCUAUUUUCUGUAACAUUUGGUCAAGACCAAAUCCUACCUUGAAAAAAUACUCUUUUCACUAUCAUCAGUUUAUAAAAUGU